UUUCUCUUUGUGCCUCCAUCCCCUUCAGACACCAUAAUCUUCUUCUUCUUUCUUAGAGAACCAAAGUCACCUGACUAUAGUCUUCUUCUCCGUUGCUCAGUUCCUCACCCCCUUGCCAUCGCUGCUCAGCCUCUCAUUCCCUAGCUGUCGUUGCUCACUCCUUGCCGUCGCUGCAGCUCCUCGCUGUCACCGCUCAACCCGCAGCUCCUCGUCGUUGCCGCUCGCCCGCAGCUCCAGCCUGUCGUCGCUGCUCAGUUUUUAGUUCUGUAAGACCAUAAGUUCCUCUCGCUCUUGUUCUCUCAUGCGCGCUUUCUCUCUCUCUCCCUCUCCAUCAUAUUGUGAGAUCUAAUUUUUUUUGUUCUUCCACUGAUUCAUCUCUUGGUUGCCGUCGCUGUGAACUUGGCCAUCGCCAUUGUAUGUGAGCCUGUCACCGAAGUCCCUUCUCUUUGUCUUUCGAGUCUGUGACUUGCUUCCAACUUUUACAUUAGCAAAGAUUCAAGAAUUGAAGGAUCUUGUAGAGGAAGCUAAGAGGAACCAAUCCUUGAAAUCUCUCUUGCUAUCUCCUUCUAGUGACUUUGUGUUUUCAUAUUAUGAAAAUAAAAUAGAUGUUUUUGAAUUCAAGAGCAAUAUGGUUGGGCUUUAUUUCUCAUCGAGUUCAUAUGAAAGAUGCACUGACUUUACUUUCGGUCUGGUGGAGUUUUAUGACAAGUUAAGAUCAGAUGAGGAGAGCUUUGAGAUUGUGAUGAUACCUCUUGAUGAGUAAGAAGAAUCCUUUAAGAAAGGAUUGAAAAGUAUGCCUUGGUUGUCAUUGUCGUUUGAGGACAAGAACGGUGGAAAAUGAUAAAAAAUAAAGACUGAAUACUCUUUUAUAUUAAUGUUGUAAUUUUUUUAUUAUGGUGUUAAAUUUAUAGUGAUCAAACAUUAGCUUUUUUUUUUUAAUUUCAAGUUAUUGAUAUUGUAUGAAUCUUAUGUUUGUAUUUUAAUUUAUGCAUGAAUUUAAAGUUUUUGUCUUAA